rnacentral:tRNA from 1 species
GGGUCCGUAGCUCAGCCUGGUUAGAGCGACGGUCUUAUAAGCCGUAGGUCUGGGGUUCAAAUCCCUGCGGACCCA